rnacentral:rRNA from 1 species
UACGUAGGGGGCUAGCGUUGUCCGGAAUCAUUGGGCGUAAAGAGCGUGUAGGCGGCCCGGUAAGUCCGCUGUGAAAGUCGGGGGCUCAACCCUCGAAUGCCGGUGGAUACUGUCGGGCUAGAGUGCGGAAGAGGCGAGUGGAAUUCCUGGUGUAGCGGUGAAAUGCGCGGAUAUCAGGAGGAACACCAAUUGCGAAGGCAGCUCGCUGGGACGUUACUGACGCUGAGACGCGAAAGCGUGGGGAGCAAACAGG